UUUAGAAAUUAAAGUAAUGACUUGAAACUUUGCAGGAUAUGAUUUUGGACUGGUCUAAUAAAAGAAGAGUCAAGAUGACACGUUACAAAUAGAUUGUCUCGUCAAAUUUACUGAAAAAAGAGGUUCGACAACCGUGACUCGGCAGAGUAUAAAAGAGAAGAAACUCGACAGAGUAUAAAAGCUAGUUAUUCAGAACAUUCAGACAUUCAGAAUUAAUUAAACUUACUGCACCUUGAACUUGAAUUUACUUAUCGGUUAACUUAAUAGUGAAUUAAUAGUGAAAUUAUUGGUGGACUUGAUAGUGAACUUAUCGGUGAAUUUAAUAGUGAAUUUAUUGGUGAAAUUACAAAAUGACAGAGGUUUCUCUAGCUUUUAAGAUUUUUUUUCUCGAUCACACGUUACCACCGCUAAUAUGAACCCCGCAUAUAAAAGCUGUUGCCGUAUGGUACUUUUACUUUCUAAUGAUGUUGAAACUAAUCAUGGGCCUUG